UGAAGGAUGCUCUCAUGCCACCUGAUACAUUGGCAGUAUUGAUGUCAGCAGGGGUGCCUCGUUCCAUUCACAGCUGUGUGAUGCCUUCAUCUCACACAGCACAGACAAUGCAGGGUGGUUCCCUGGAGUGCUGCCCUUGCAGAGUGAAGACUGUUAACUGGGCACAAGCAGAUGCUGCUCUUUAUAUUGAGAGGAUCAUGGAUUAACCCAACAGAUGCCAACUGCCCCCAUUCUCCAUUGAUGGUUUCAGAGCACCCAUCUGCUUUCUUCCCAGACACCACCACUCAAAGUGUGACUUCAUACACCAAGGCUUUUGGGAUAGCCAUUGUAGCAGGUUCACUAUGCUGGCCAACAAUGGACAGAGGAAUACAAUGUACAAUAUAGGUGAACCUAUAGAAUGUGGUAAUACUGAACCAGAGGUAGACAAGUCAGAUUUAGAUGCACAUAAAAACAUGCAUAUUUUUCCCUUGUGAGAAGCAGAAGGCUCAGUUUGCUGCUGGCUGAGAAACAGGCAGUUCUAAAUCUCUCCACUUCUCUCUCAAAGAAGAAGAACAAAAACUCUGCAAAGAAUUUUCCAUUUUUCCGUGCUCCUCUGAAUGCCAUGAAGAUUAACAAGUAACAUUAGCUCUGCUGAAAUGCCUUCAUCUGCUCAUGGAAAAUAGAAGACAUUUAAGCAGCCAAACUUAAGCAAGAAAAAGAAGUUAAACACAAAAUAUGUCUCUUUGGAAUCAACACCCCUUUGCAGAAGGGAAGGAUUGAUAUCUGCCAAAGUGCUAACAGCUGUUUUUUUAUACGCAGUCCUACAUACAUUUUCUGUAGGAGGAACACUGGAUGCAGCAAUGGUGAAUGAUUUAUCUGAAGCAGCAGGUGUAUUGCAAGCAUCAUUUCAAUCUGUCAUGUGCAUGCGUGUGGGGAGGGAGGAGAGCUUCAAUGAGUGAUUGUGGCCACCUAUGAAGCAGGAUGUAGGCAGUGCUGUGAGCCAACUAGGCUACUCAGCCAGUCUAUCUGGAGUAUAUCUACCAGCUCUUGUAUCAAAAUAGCAUGUGUAAUACUUGUCGAAUGUGCUUUCUUGCCUGAUGGGAAGAUAACAAACUACCAAAAUCACCAUUGUAAAGCAGGAACCUGAAACUCAGGACUAGAGAUAAUGGCCUCAAGUUGUUCCAGGGGAGGUUCAGCUUGGAUAUUAGGAGAAAUUUUCUUCUCAGAAAGAGUGGUGAUGCAGUGGAACAGCUGCCCAGGCUGGUGGUGGGUCACCAUCACUGGAGAUGUUCCAGAAACAUGGAGAUGUGGCACUGAGGGGAGUGGUCAG
rnacentral:lncRNA from 1 species